rnacentral:tRNA from 1 species
GGGGUUGUGGCUCAGUGGUAGAGCACUCGUCUGACAUGUGUGAGACACUGAGUUUGAUCCUCAGCACCACA